CUUCGUUAUCAUACUGCCCGAGGCUCAGCUUCCGGAAUCUUCCGCCUAGUGGCUUCUCCCCUGGGGAGCCUGACAGAGAGACACAUGGGCUGCAGGACGUCCUGUUCCUGUUCCCCUCCCCCCAUACCUGGCAGCCUCUGUGGACUUGCCCCUUCUGGAUGUUUCCUAUAAAUGGAAUCCCACCCCA